AAAAAACACUGUGACAGAAAAGAAGAAUGCCUUCAAUGAGCUUAUUAGUAGACUGGAUAUGGCUAAGAAAAUAAUCUCUGAGCUUGGGUGUAUUUCAAUAGAAACCUUCAAAACUGAAAAGAAAACAGAAAAAGGACUGAAAUAAGUAGAACAGACCAUCCAAGAACUGCAGGACAACUACAAACGGUGUAAAUGGGAAUAUAAAAAGGAGAAGAAUGAGAGAAAGGAAAAGAAGAAAUAUUUGAAAGAAUAAUGAUUGAGAAUUUCCCUCAAUUAAGAUCAGAUACCAAACCACAGAUUCCAGAAGCUCAGAGAACACAAAGCAGGAUAAAUGCCCCAAAAAUACACCCAGGCAUAUCAUGUUCAAACUGUAGAAAAUCAACAGUAAAGAAAAUCUUGAAAGAAGCCAGAGGGAAGAAACAUCUUAUCCUACAGAAGAGCAAAGGUAAGAAUUAUGUCUGACUUCUCUUCAGAAACAAAGCAAACAGGAAGAGAAUGGACUAAAAUACUUAAGGUGUUGAGAGAAAACAACCACCAACCUAGAAUUCUGUACCCUGCAAAAUUAUCCUUCAAACAUGAAGAAGUAAAGACUUCCUCAGAAAAACAAAAAUUGAGAAAAUUCUUUUUCCAAUACAACUGCCUUGCAAGACAUGUUAAAAGAAGUUAUUUAGAAAGAAGAAAAAUUAUACAAAUCAAAAACUGGGAUCAACAUAAAGAAAGGAAGAGCAUCAGAGAAGGAACAAGUGAAGAUGGUGAAAUCCAGACUUUGAAAGACUGAGCAAAUUGCCCACAGCAACACUGUUGAUAAAUAGCAGAGUUUGGAUUCAAGCGCAGGUCUGCAAUCCUGCUUGCGCAAAUUUCAAAGGAACGGAUACUGGGUAUCUUCCAGGUACUAGACCAAACAUUUAGUGUAUGUUAAUUUGUUUAACCCUCCCCUCAACCUAUGAAGUGAGUGUUAGCCCCACCCUUAUAGAAAAGGCAACUGUGCCCAGAGCGGUGGAGGACUGCGCUCCAGGAUGCAACCAAAGCCGGGUGCACAGCAGCCGGCAUGGCGCCAAAACUGAAGCCCUGAGCUGCUCUGCGGUGCUACCCUUUGUCCCUCCAGACUCUCUUUUCCUUCAUCUGUUUGUCAGUAAACCGAAGCCACCACAGUUUGUCAUUUGGAUGAUUUUCGAUGGAGAAGCUGCAGCUCCAGACUCUUGACAGCCGCACAACUUCCAAGGCAGUGGCCCCGCGGGCUGCAAACCCCACCUUCCUGCAGUUGCAGAGCCAGCUAAGAGGUGGGCAGCAUGCCAGGCCCCAUCAGCAGCCCCUGGAGCACACACCAAUUGCAGAUGCUCAGGAGACUCGGGGGAAGGAACGGGGUUUUCACCAGAACACCACAGGCAGGACCUCCCAGCAAAGGCCUCCAGAUGCUGUGAAAACCUAAGGCUCGUCCUCCUCCUGGCUUCCCAGGUUACCCAGCCACAACACACAGAUGCUGGGUCUGGGACGGCUCCACUGGAACCUGAGAUGACCUGAGGGUGUCCCAGUGAUAUAACAUAUGAGGAAAGCAGAAACAACUAAGAAAUAGACUCUGAAUGUGGCAGAUUCUAGAACUGAGGUGAGCAGCCAGGACUUGCCUGACAUGCCCACUGGGAGUACGGUGCUAGCAGCCUGAGAACAGAGCCCAGCCGCCACGCCACCAGGAUGGGAGUGGGCCCGGCGGACUUCCUGCCUUUUGGUCAGACAGACUGCCUUCCUGAAUUACUAGGUCCAGGAAGUGUGGUGACGGGGUGGGGGCGGGUGGAGAGGUUGCACGUGUCACUUACCACCCCCAUACGGCCCUCUUCCUGACUGUCGCCUCCCUUCCUCGCUUACAGACCAGUUACUUAAUCUGCCACAUGACGAGAUGGUAUCUGGGAUCUCUAACGGCUCUGAAAUCCCACAAUUCUAUAACUGGUCUUAGACACAAGACCAGUAAGAGAUAGGCGAACCCCGGCCCCGCCCCGCAGUUUGCUCCAUGUGAUACACAGUUCACACUGAGUGCUAGCAGUAGGGGAAGAAACAGUAGCUGCUCUGUGUUGAGCACUGAGCCUGCACUGAGCAAGGUGAUGCGUGUUUCUAGGCAUCGUCACAUUCUGUGCCCAUGUGGGUGCUCCUAGCACCAGUCAGAAGAUAGAGCUUAAACAGGUGGAGUAAGUUGCCCAAAGGCCAGCCCCAGUUUCCCUGAAUCUCAUCAUGCUGGACACUGGACUAUUUCUGGAGGUUUAAGGCUGAGAAAAUCUAAGUCUGUAUCCCCUCACACUCCUCCUUACACUGGUGUCCCUGGGAGAAACCUCGACAUUACUCCCAACCUCGCUUCUCCCCAAGAGCAGGAUGAUUUGUGUAACUCAUGAGUUUGGGAGAAAACCCGCACCUGUGGGGCUCGAUCCCUCUGCCUCUUGGAGCAGAAGGCGGCCUUCUGUGCUGGGCUCCGUCCUGGGGGAGGUCCGCAGCUGGCCAUCUGCGCCAGGCCCUAGCAGAUAAUAAAGCUUAUCUGUCCCAGGUGUGAUGUAUUAGCAAGCCUGCCUGGCCGUACCUCAAGCUGCAUUUUCCUCCAAUUUGCCAAGAAAGGGGACACUUUCUCUCAGUUGGUUCUGGACUCUGAAAGAAGAAAGGGUGUUGUUAUUCAUCCGGUUUCCUAGAGCCCCACCAUAUGGACACCUGGUGCAGCCCUGAAGGGAGGGAUGGCAGCAGGUUUAGGGAUGGAGACAUCUCAGAGCCAGAAGAGACCUUCUAGCAGCCCAGCAGAAAUAUAAUGAAGCCACACAGGUGACUGUAAAUUCCCUAGCAACAAUAUUAACAAAUAGAAGCAGGAAAAAUUAAUUAUAGUAAUACAUUUUACUUAGUUCAAUAGAGCAGAUGAUCAUUUCAAUAUGUGCUCAGAGUGCAGUGUGGCUAACGGCUUCUGUCAUGGACAGUACAGCCUUAGGGCCUCCUAUGCCUGAGGGGGUCUGCUCCCUUUGACAAUGUCCCAGUGCAAAGACUUCCAGGUGUGAAGAGGUCUCAACCUUCUGAAUCACUCCAUUUAGUGGUGGGCAUUUCUGGUUGUUAGAAACACCUCAUCCUCCAUUGGUCUCCACCCCCACUCAACUUGCUUCCAUCUCUCUGAGAGACAGUCAGAACGGAACACAUUCCUCUAGAAAGGUCCUCAGUCUUUUCUGAAAUGCCUAUCUCCUGUCUUUCACAGGCUGCUGCCUCCCUGUGUCAUUGCCUAACAUUGGUAUUCUUUGGUGGGACAAAGUUUUGGUGUUUUUCUCACUUGAGAAUAUUAUAUUUAUAACAGUUGUGGACACAUGUUGUUUUUUAACUACCCAGCAUCCAGUCUUCCUAAUUUAGAAGAACCCCAAAAUAGGUGAAAAGUACAACCCCACCUCUGAUCCCGCCUCUGACCCCGCCUCCUGUCACAGAGGCGGAAGAGGAGCAGAUCUUCACUUUCCACACCUCAAGGUACUCAGCCAAUCACCUGUUCAUGCCUGAGAUUGUGAAUCCAAUAGGAAAGUACAAGGACAUGGAGAUUGUCAGAGCUGUUGUAUGAUGGUGGCAGCAGAGUCAAGAGUCCAGCGGAGAGGCAGCAAGCAUCCCAAGGAUCCCAUGACUGAGAACCAGCUUCUGUGGUUUAGAAGCAAGGCGCCAACUGGUAUGAGAAGCACAGACAGAUGGUGCCCUGGGAACACUGGCUGUCACGUGCUGGAGGAGGUUCCUCAGCAAGUCACCUUCCCUCCAUGGGCCUCUGUUGGAAAGAAGGCAUCAAGAUCAUUCCAGCUAUGAUUCCUGAGCUUUUAAUAUAUUCUUUCUGAUGAUUAAGAAAUAUAUCUGUCGAGCAUGGCAGCUUACGCCUGUAAUCCUAGCACUUUGUGAGGCCGAGGCGGGUGGAUCAUGAGGUCAGGAGUUCAAGACCAGCCUGACCAACAUGGUGAAACCUCGUGUCUACUAAAAAUACAAAAAUUAGCCGGGUGUUGUGGUGUGUGCUUGUAAUCCCAGCUACUCGGGAGGCUGAGGCAGGAGAAACACUUGAACCCGGGAGGCGGAGGUUGCAGUGAGCUGACAUCACGCCACUGCCCUCCAGCCUGGGUAACAGAGUGAGACUCCAUCUCAAAGAAAAAAAGAGAUAUAUCUGCAUGUGACAUGGAAAGAGGCUCAGAAUAUCAGACAUUUUACUACAGAUCUUGAAAACAGCUCUCCAAAACUAACUCCAGAUCCACCCUGGGGUUCUCAACUCCACAUGGUUUUCUAAAAUUGAGACCAAGACUAAGAUGAAGAGCUAUGCCUCGCCCUGAUGCUGCCAGGACUACUGUUCCCAUGACUACCUUGAGGUGCAGGCUGAGACCCUGGGUGUCUGUGGUGGCAGAGUACAGCAGAGGAGUUGGAGUCAAAGCAGUUUGGAUCCUCAUCCCAGCUGGGCCUCCUGAUGUUGGAGGGCCCUGGACAAAGGGUUUUCAUUUGCUGGGUCUCAGUUCUCCACAUGGACAACAAUGCACUGUAUGAGUUUUAAGGUUCUUUUCAGCUCUGACUCUCUGUGAGUCUGAAUCCAGUAGGAGCUAUUAUUUCCUUGAUUCCUCCUUACUGUUUUGUUCCCUUCUUCUCUGGUUUCUGUAUUAAAACUUUAUAUGUUUAUGAAUGGAUAAUCAAAAUGUGGUAUAUCCAUAUCAUGGAAUAUUAUACAGCCAUGAAAAGGAAUGAAGUACUGAUGCAUGCUACAACAUGGAUGAACCUUAAAAACACUAGGCUAAGUGAAAGAAGCCAGUCUCCAAAGACCAUAUGUGGUAUGAUUUCAUUGAUAUGAAAUGCUCAGAAUAGGCAGAUUUGUAGUGACAGAAAGUACAUUAGUGGCUGCCUAGGGCUAGGAAGAGAUGAGGAGUGACUCUCAAUGAGUACAGGAUUUCUUUUGGAAGUGAUGAAAAUGUUCAAAAAUUGAUUGCAGUGAUGGCUGUACAACUCUGUGAAUAUAUGAAAAACCCUUGAAUUAUACAAUUGAAAUUGGUGAAUUGUAUGGUAUAUGAAUUGUAUCUGAAUAAAGCUGUUAAAAAAACGGGGAAGAAGUUUAAGAGAAAUCCAAUAUAUUUUAAAGCUCUGCUCAUGGCAUUGGAGGUUAGCCUUGAAAAUUAAAUCCACUCACAGUCCAACAAUUCUAUGUUGUUUGGGUUUUUAAAUUUUUCCCUAUUAUUAAAUUGAUUCAUUUGAAUGUAACUACUUUAAAAUCACCCCUUCUCCGAAGGUCUAAUUAGCAGUCUAAUGGGAUCAGAAAAAGGAAAAAUGGGAUCUGACAAGUUUCUAUGCUUGAUUCCAGAGAGUUCAUUGAGGUAGUUUCUCUUUUCUCUAGACUCUUUUGUUAGAUUCUACUGGAAAUCCUAUCUGAAGAAUUAUUAUAGAACAGUGCAGCUCAUACUUUAAUGUGCACACAAAUAACGUGGAGAUCUUGUUAAAAUACAGAUUCUAACUUAGGAGGUCUGGGGUGGGGCCUUGGAGUCUUGAACCUCUGACAAGCUCCCCAUCGAUGCUGAUGCUGCUGGCCCAUGGACCACACUGCAAGCUGCCAGGCUCCAGAACACUGUCUAAUAUGACCACUGAGCACUUGCAAUGUGGCUAGUCUGAAUAGGGAUGUAAUGUAGGUGAAUGAAUGAGAGAAUAUAAGUGAUGUCAGUGUAAAAUAUAUCAUAGUUUUCAAAGACUUAGUAAAAAAAAAGAACAUGAAAUAAUUUUUAUAUUAGUUGGACAUUGGCAUAAUAAUAUUCUGCCCUGGGCGUGGUGACUCACGCCUGUAAUCCCAGAACUUUGGGUGGCUGAAGCAGGCAGAUCACUUGAGACCAGGAGUUAGAGACCAGCCUGGCCAACAUGGCAAAACCGUGUCUCUACUAAAAACACAAAAAUUAGCUGGGCAUGGUGGUGCACACUUGUAAUGUCAGCUACUCGGGUGGCUGAGGCACGAGAAUCACUUGAACCCAGGAGGUGGAGAUUGCAGUGAGCUGAGAUCGUGCCACUGCACUCAAGCCUGGGCAAGAGAGCAAGACUCUGCCUCAAUAAUAAUAAUAAAAAUAUUCUGGGCACAUUAGAUUACAUAAAAUGUAUUAUUUUUAAAAUUACAAAUUUUAUUUGUGAAAGAGACUGGUAGCACCCCUCUCUCAAUUAUUCAACUCCCCUUUUUCCUUAAUAACAGAUUUCCAGCUGGGCAAAUGGUAGCCACAUGGAAUAAAGACUAUAUUCCCCAGCUUCCCUUCCAGCUAGGUGAGACCAUGUGAUAUAGUUUGGACAUUUACCCCAGCCCAAAUCUCCUGUUGAAUUGUAAUCCCCAUUGCUGGAAAUGAGGCCUGGUGGAAUGUGUUUGGACCACGGGGGCAGAUCCCUCAUGGCUUUUGGUGCUGUCUCCGUGAUAGCGAGUUCUCACGAGAUCUGGUCAUUUAAAAUCAUGUGCUCCCCCUCACCCCGCCCACUCUCUCUCUCUUGCUCCUGUUUUCUCCAUGUGAAGUGCCUGCUCCAGCUCUGCCUUCUGCCAUGACUGUAAGGUUCCUGAGGCCCCUCCAAAAGCAGAUGCUACUAUACUUCUUGUAUAGCCUGCAGAACCAUGAGCCAGCUCAACCUCUUUCCUUAUUAUAAACCCAGUCUUGUGUAUUUCUUUACAGCAAUGCAAGAACAGCCUAAUAAGCUGUGUGACUAAUCACUGCAUGAAACGGAGGGAGAGAGUUGUGCAGCUUCCAAGAACCUUCCUUAAGAGAUUAUGUCAGUUCACCCCUUGCCUUCUUCUUCUUCAUUCCUUCCUCCAUCCUGCUGACUAGAAUGAAGAGAUGUUGUCAUCUUGGACCAUGAGGUCAAGGCCAUGAGUGGACCAACAGGAUGUAAAUGUCAUGAGGGCAGGGAUUUUGUCUGUUCCCCAUUCCCCAGCUGCUGUGACCCCAAUGCCUAGUCGGUGCUAAAUAAAUAUUUGCUAAGUGAAUGAAUGAACGAACAAGCCUGGGAGUCCGAUACUGGGGAGGCAAAGUGAAUGAAUGAAUGAACAAGCCUGGGAGUCCGAUACUGGGGAGGCAAUGUCAGCCCCAGACCACCCACCUGGACUUUUACAUGAGUGAGAACCAAACUUCUACCUUGUUUAAACCAACCCUAAUCCUAUCAAUACAAUUUUUAAAAGUCCUAUCAUUGUUUUAGGCCAUAUAAAGUCUACCUAAAAUGUUAAGCUAAACCUCGGUAAAUUGAAUCACAUUUCCAAUGCAUUGUGAUAUUCAUUUUUUAAUGUUGUGGAUUAUUUUACAGAGCCAAAAUCCAUCCACUUGUAUGUUUAAUAAGUUUAGGUUUUAGUAAUUUGGGUUUCUAAAACCAAAAUCCACUUCCAAGAGUACUUUCUUACUAACAAUGCAAAGCACUGUAAAAAUUCAAUCCAGCAAUGAUUUUCUUAACAGCCCUAGAAUGUAAUAUAAGUGUUAUUA
rnacentral:lncRNA from 1 species